rnacentral:rRNA from 1 species
GAUGAACGCUGGCGGCGUGCCUAAUACAUGCAAGUCGAACGCAUAGCGAAAGGUGCUUGCCCCUUUCAAGUGAGUGGCGAACGGGUGAGUAACACGUGGACAACCUGCCUCAAGGCUGGGGAUAACAUUUGGAAACAGAUGCUAAUACCGAAUAAAACUUAGUGUCGCAUGACCCAAAGUUAAAAGGCGCUUCGGCGUCACCUAGAGAUGGAUCCGCGGUGCAUUAGUUAGUUGGUGGGGUAAAGGCCUACCAAGACAAUGAUGCAUAGCCGAGUUGAGAGACUGAUCGGCCACAUUGGGACUGAGACACGGCCCAAACUCCUACGGGAGGCUGCAGUAGGGAAUCUUCCACAAUGGGCGAAAGCCUGAUGGAGCAACGCCGCGUGUGUGAUGAAGGCUUUCGGGUCGUAAAGCACUGUUGUAUGGGAAGAACAGCUAGAAUAGGAAAUGAUUUUAGUUUGACGGUACCAUACCAGAAAGGGACGGCUAAAUACGUG